rnacentral:lncRNA from 1 species
GGCAACAAAUUUGUUUUGAUUCACCAAGAGACGAGUGCCUAGUAAAGGAGGAGAUUAGUCAGAUUACAAUCUUUUGUGGGAACACAAUAAUCACUCAGUUUGACUCGCCAUUGAAUUCACACGUUAGCUCUGUAGUGAGGUCAUCUCAGCUUAAUUAUAAGAGAGAACAUACUCUUGUUUUGGCUUUUGUCCAUGUAAGCAUCGGUGAAUAUCAGAUGCUAACACUCAACUAAAUACUAUUGUCAUACUUGUCAACAAACUUCUGGAACCUUUUAAAUAGGUCCAAAUCUAUUUGCACAUUAACCCACUAAUAUUCUCCACCUUAACAAAUAAAUUCAAAUGAUCUACUUAUUUACAGCUGGCAGUUGGAAUCACCUUGACUAGCAUGUCAGCCGAAUUGACAACAGUAUGAAUUUUGGCCACAUUCGCAGCCCCUUACGAAUGUGCUUGGUUUUUCAUAAUAUGCUUGAAUCUUGAUCAAUUGUAUUGCACUCAAAUUAUCACAAAACACACGCAAUCUUCUGAUUAAGCCAUUAAAAGGAUCCUUGAGCCACACAGAGUCCUUGAUGAUGGCUUCAGUUGCUACAACAAACUCAGUUUUAGUAGAUGAUAAAGCAACCAUAUAUAUGCUGCACUCAAAAUUGCUUAAUUUCUAGUUGAUCAGGCAAUUGUUGGACACAAAUAAGUAUCAUGUGAUUAACUUUCUUCUAUAUAAUAUAGAUCACCAAUAAAGUCAGUGUCUACUUAUCUCAUGAUUUUACUUAGUUCAUGCUUGAAAUUGAAGAUCAACUAAAGAUUAUGUCACAGAAUUAAAAAUUACGGCUUAAGAGUUUCUGUACCUGACUAGGUUAAAAUGGAAUCCUACAAAAAAUAUAUCGCAUAGAAUUGUUAUUUGUAAUCUAGAAGAAUUUAUUUCAAGAAAUAUUUAAGUUAAAAUCUAAGGUUAGAUAUGUGCUGUAAAAGUGGCCAUGUCACUUACAUUGUAAAAGUCAAGUAGUUGUAGAAUGUGGUAGGAAAAUAAGGUUUGUGAUACAUAUCGGUGGGUAGUUAGAAUGAUGAUAAAAGAAUAAGUUCGUUAAAAGUUAUGGUUAAUAAAGUGUUUGUCAAAAUUGGUUCUAAGUCUUAGGGUGGGUAAAAAAUAAGUUACUUAAAAGUUAUGGUCAGUAAAGUGUUUGUCAAAGUCGGUUCUAAGGUUUAGAUCGGAUUAGGAUUAAUCCGAUUGGAUUUUAAGUUAAUCGAAUUGGGCAAAAAGUCAUCUGAACUCAAUUCGAAUUUUUGAUUCUAUCCUAUUCGAUCCAAAAUAUAUUUGGAUUGGAACAGAUAGGACAAAAAAUUCGGAUUGAGUUUGGAUCAAAUUCGGAUUAAAAAGCAUUCAGGUCAUAUGGAUAUCCAUUGUAUAUCUCUAUUGCCUUAUUAAUUUCAAAAUCUUUUUUUUUUGACUGAACCAAUCAAGCAAAACAAUAAAUCUCAUUACAUAAUUUCAUUUCAAACUUUUUCCAUUAAUUAUUUAAAAUAAUAUAUUCAAAUACCAUGAAAAACUUGUUGAUGGUGGCUGUCAAGGUGAAGGAAGCUGUAGCAGUUGCAGUAACUAGUGGAGCACGCGGCAGCAACCAGCAGCGGUCGAGGUGCUGCAAAUCGCAUCGGGAACGUCGCGGUAGCAGCGAUGGCUUAGCUUCAUGCGGUUGCGUCAGUGAUUGCUAGCUACUGCUUUGUUCAGUUGCUAUUUGGCGUCUUGAUGUCUCCGAUCUCUGAGGCCCGAGCUCUAUGUGCAUGUGCUUGUGUGUGGUGCAAGUGUGUGGUGUGACUUUGUUUCAUUAAUUUAUUUUUUUAAUUUUACAGGCAACUCGAUCGGUUUUCACCCG